rnacentral:rRNA from 1 species
AGUGACCGCUGGCGGUAGGCCUAAUACAUGCAAGUCGAGCGACAAAACAGUAAGCUUUUUCUCUUACGGUUGGCGCGGGCCGGAUGGGUAACACGUGAAUAACCUACUAAUAAUACGUGGGUAAUUUCGUGAAACCAGUUAUACUACUGGCUAAUACAUUCAACGGCUGGGUUCAAGGGUGAUUCAGGUUUUGCGUGUCACUAUGAGACGGUGCCGAAUUAGCUAGUUGGUUAGGUAACGGCCCACCAAGGCAACGAUGCGUAGCUGACCUGAGAGGAUGAUCGGCCACACUGGAACUGAGACACGGUCCAGACUCCUACGGGAGGCAGCAGUAGGGAAUAUUCCGCAAUGGGCGCAAGCCUGACGGAGCCACGCCGCGUGAGUGAUGAAGGUCUUCGGAUCGUAAAACUCUGUUAUUAGGGAAGAACAAAUGCGUAAGUAACUAUGGACGUCUUGACGGUACCUAAUCAGAAAGCACCGGCUAACUACGUG